GGGGGGGCAAGCGUUGUUCGGAAUUACUGGGCGUAAAGGGCGCGCAGGCGGCCCGGCCAGUCCUACGUGAAAUCCCACAGCUCAACUGUGGGACUGCGUGGGAUACUGCCAGGCUUGAGUCCGGGAGAGGAGAGUGGAAUUCCCAGUGUAGCGGUGAAAUGCGUAGAUAUUGGGAGGAACACCGGUGGCGAAGGCGGCUCUCUGGACCGGCACUGACGCUGAGGCGCGAAAGCUAGGGGAGCAAACGGGGAUUAGAUACCCCGGUAGUCCUAGCCCUAAACGAUGAGCACUUUGUGUGGCGGGUAUCGACCCCCUGCCGUGCAGAAGCUAACGCAUUAAGUGCUCCGCCUGGGGAGUACGGUCGCAAGGCUG
rnacentral:rRNA from 1 species